rnacentral:rRNA from 1 species
UACGUAGGGUGCGAGCGUUGUUCGGAAUUACUGGGCGUAAAGCGCACGUAGGCGGAUAUUUAAGUCAGGGGUGAAAUCCCGGGGCUCAACCCCGGAACUGCCUUUGAUACUGGGUAUCUAGAGUCCGGAAGAGGUGAGUGGAAUUCCGAGUGUAGAGGUGAAAUUCGUAGAUAUUCGGAGGAACACCAGUGGCGAAGGCGGCUCACUGGUCCGGUACUGACGCUGAGGUGCGAAAGCGUGGGGAGCAAACAGG